UUCUUUAAGCCCAAUAAUUUAAAGUAAAACCUGCUCAAUGAUACUUCAAUAGCCGCAGUUUCCUGUGCUAAGGUAGCAUAAUCACUUGCUUCUUAAUUAGAAGAUAGAAUGAAUGGUUAAACAUUUAAAACAUGUCUCUAAAAAACAUAUAAAACUAAAAAUAGGGGUAAAAAUUCCCCUAAAAUAAAGCGGGACGACAAGACCCUAAUAAACUACAAUUUAGUUGGGGAAACUCCAUAAAAAAACUUUAUUAUACACAUAAAAAUACUUCAAAUAAAAAAUAGUUACUAUAGGGAUAACAGCGCCAUUUCUUUUAAGAGUUCACAUCAAAAAAGAAGAUUACGACCUCGAUGUUGAAUUAAUAAACCAAAUAAGGUGCACAAGCCUAUAUAGGUAGUCUGUUCGACUAUUAAAAAAUU
rnacentral:rRNA from 1 species